GACGAACGCUGGCGGCGUGCUUAACACAUGCAAGUCGAACGGAAAGGCCCUGCUUUUGGGGGGUGCUCGAGUGGCGAACGGGUGAGUAACACGUGAGUAACCUGCCCUGGACUGUGGGAUAACUUCAUGAAACUUGGGCUAAUACCGGAUAGGAGCUCCUGCUGCAUGGUGGGGGUUGGAAAGUUUCGGCGGUUGGGGAGGGACUCGCGGCCUAUCAGCUUGUUGGUGGGGUAGUGGAUUACCAAGGCUUUGACGGGUAGCGGGGCUGAGAGGGUGACCGGCCAAAUUGGGACUGGGCUGCGGCCCAGCCUCCUCCGGGACGCAGCAGUGGGGAAUAUUGUACUAUGGGAGGAAGCCUAACGUAGUAAAGCCGCGUGGGGGAUGACGGCAUUCGGGUUGUAAACCGAUUUCGCCUGUGACGAAGCGUGAGUGACGGUAAUGGGUAAAGAAGCACCGGCUAACUACGUG
rnacentral:rRNA from 1 species